UUGCGGGGUAGAGCAGCCUGGUAGCUCGUCGGGCUCAUAACCCGGAGGUCGUAGGUUCAAAUCCUACCCCCGCUAU
rnacentral:tRNA from 1 species